CAGUAGCCGCGGUAAUACGUAGGUGGCAAGCGUUGUCCGGAAUUAUUGGGCGUAAAGGGCUCGCAGGCGGUUUCUUAAGUCAGAGGUGAAAUCCUGGAGCUCAACUCCAGAACUGCCUUUGAUACUGGCAAUCUAGAGUCCGGAAGAGGUAAGUGUAACUCCUAGUGUAGAGGUGGAAUUCGUAGAUAUUAGGAAGAACACCAGUGGCGAAAGCGGCUUACUGGUCCGGUACUGACGCUGAGGUGCGAAAGCGUGGGGAGCAAACAGGAUUAGAUACCCCGGUAGUCCCUGUCUCUUAUAC
rnacentral:rRNA from 1 species